rnacentral:tRNA from 1 species
UCCCUGGUAGCUCAAAUGGUGGAGAAUCUGCCUGCAACGCAGGAGACACUGGUUUGAUCCCUGGUUUGGGAA